rnacentral:rRNA from 1 species
UCCAGACUCCUACGGGAGGCAGCAGUGGGGAAUAUUGCACAAUGGGGGAAACCCUGAUGCAGCGACGCCGCGUGAGUGAAGAAGUAUCUCGGUACGUAAAGCUCUAUCAGCAGGGAAGAAAAUGACGGUACCUGACUAAGAAGCCCCGGCUAACUACGUGCCAGCAGCCGCGGUAAUACGUAGGGGGCAAGCGUUAUCCGGAUUUACUGGGUGUAAAGGGAGCGUAGACGGCAGCGCAAGUCUGGAGUGAAAUGCCGGGGCCCAACCCCGGAACUGCUCUGGAAACUAUUGAACUUGAGUGCAGGAGAGGUAAGCGGAAUUCCUAGUGUAGCGGUGAAAUGCGUAGAUAUUAGGAGGAACACCAGUGGCGAAGGCGGCUUACUGGACUGUAACUGACGUUGAGGCUCGAAAGCGUGGGGAGCAAACAGGAUUAGAUACCCGCGUAUA